CUGGAUCUAUUGCGCGUAAAGGGUGCGUAGCCGGCCCAUUCAAGUCAGGCGUGUAAUUCAGACGCCUUCACCUCUGAACUGCGCUUGAAACUGUUUGCCCUGAGUGGAGUAGAGGCAGAUGGAAUCUCCAGUGUAGCGGUGAAAUGCGUAGAUAUUGGAAGGAACACCAGUGGCGAAGGCGAUCUGCUGGGCUCUAACUGACGCUGAGGCACGAAAGCAUGGGGAGCAAACAGGAUUAGAUACCCCUGGUAGUCCAUGCCGUCAACGAUGAUUACUAGGUGUGGGGGGACUGACCCCUUCCGUGCCGGAGUUAACACAAUAAGUAAUCCACCUGGGAAGUACGAUCGCAAGGUUGAAACUCAAAGGAAUUGACGGGGGCCCGCACAAGCAGUGGAGUAUGUGGUUUAAUUCGACGAUACGCGAAGAACCUUACCAGGUCUUGACAUUGAUUGAAAGCUUAGAGAUAAGCCGUGCCCUUCGGGGAACAUGAAAACAGGUGGUGCAUGGUUGUCGUCAGCUCGUGUCGUGAGAUGUUGGGUUAAGUCCCGCAACGAGCGCAACCCCUACGGUUAGUUACUACGCAAGAGCACUCUAACAGGACUGCCGUUGACAAAACGGAGGAAGGUGGGGAUGACGUCAAAUCAUCAUGCCCUUUAUGACUUCGGUCACCCACCUACUACAACCGCCACCACCACAGGGAUACAAGGGAGCGAUCCGGAGUCAACCCCCAAAAGCGGUCUCAGUUCAGAUUGCAGGUUGCAACUCGCCUGU
rnacentral:rRNA from 1 species